AAUCAACGCUGGCGGCGCGCCUAACACAUGCAAGUCGAACGAGAAAGUGGAGCAAUCCAUGAGUAAAGUGGCGUACGGGUGAGUAACACGUGGAUAACCUGCCCUUUAGUGGGGAAUACCGAUGGGAAACCGUCGACAAUACCGCAUAAGCUCGAGAGAGGAAAGCAGCAAUGCGCUGAAGGAGGGGUCCGCGGUCGAUUAGCUAGUUGGUAGGGUAAUGGCCUACCAAGGCUGUGAUCGAUAGCCGGCCUGAGAGGGCACACGGCCACACUGGCACUGAAACACGGGCCAGACUCCUACGGGAGGCAGCAGUGGGGAAUCUUGCAUAAUGGGGGCAACCCUGAUGCAGCGACGCCGCGUGAGCGAUGAAGCCCUUCGGGGUGUAAAGCUCUUUCGGCAGGGAAGAUUAUGACGGUACCUGCAGAAGCAGCUGCGGCUAACUACGUGCCAGCAGCCGCGGUAAUACGUAGGCAGCAAGCGUUGUUCGGAGUUACUGGGCGUAAAGGGUGCGUAGGCGGCUCUAUAAGUAUGGUGUGAAAUCUCCCGGCUUAACUGGGAGGGUGCGCUAUAGACUGUGGGGCUAGAGUGUGGGAGAGGAAAGUGGAAUUCCUGGUGUAGCGGUGAAAUGCGUAGAUAUCAGGAGGAACACCGGUGGUGUAAACGGCUUUCUGGACCAUAACUGACGCUGAGGCACGAAAGCGUGGGUAGCAAACAGGAUUAGAUACCCUGGUAGUCCACGCCCUAAACGAUGCAUAUUUGGUGUGGGCCAUUCAUUGGUCCGUGCCGGAGCUAACGCGUUAAUUAUGCCGCCUGGGGAGUACAGUCGCAAGGCUGAAACUCAAAGGAAUUGACGGGGGCCCGCACAAGCGGUGGAGCAUGUGGUUCAAUUCGACGCAACGCGAAGAACCUUACCUAGGCUUGACAUGUACGUGAAGACUUCGAGAGAUCGGGGUCGCCCUUCGGGGCGCGUGCACAGGUGCUGCAUGGCUGUCGUCAGCUCGUGUCGUGAGAUGUUGGGUUAAGUCCCGCAACGAGCGCAACCCUUGCCCCCUGUUGCCAGCGGCGGUAGAGAUACCGGCCGGGGACUCUGGGGGGACUGCCGGUGCCAAACCGGAGGAAGGUGGGGACGACGUCAAGUCAUCAUGGUUCUUACGUCUAGGGCUACACACGUGCUACAAUGGACAGUACAGAGGGGUGCGAGGCAGCAAUGCCGAGCCAAUCCCCAAAGCUGUCCUCAGUUCGGAUUGUCGCCUGCAACCCGGCGGCAUGAAGCUGGAAUCGCUAGUAAUCGUGGAUCAGCAUCGCCACGGUGAAUACGUUCCCGGGCCUUGUACACACCGCCCGUCACGCCAUGGAAGCGACGAGCGCCCGAAGUCGGUGCCGGAACCCGCAAGGGGCCAAGCCGCCGAAGGCGAGCGUCGUGACUGGGGCGAAG
rnacentral:rRNA from 1 species